rnacentral:lncRNA from 1 species
UAAUGCUUAAUUCAAUCAUUUCUUGAUGGUUUAUUAAAAUAUAACAUAUAUGUUUUAUUGUCUUAUAUUCUGUACCUGUAUUUUGGAUUUGGAAUUUCUAUUAAUAGACUUCACUUUCUAUUAAUUGAUCCAGUGAUCUUUCUUCAAUCUUUCCUUUUGGUUUCUUCAUCUCAAUGACCUUAAGCCAUUUUUUAUUCUUGUACCUUAAUAACUGAAUAUGUUUAGUUUCUUUUUGCAGAAGUGAAAUUUCUAAAAAGCUGGUGUUGUAUUUUGGCCCCAGAUUGUUAUAAUUGUGUCUCAAAGAUUUGAUAGGAAAUUGGAAAGUACUGCAAGAGUUUGGUACUAUACAUUUUUUUUCUUAAGAAUACUUAUUUAAUUCAUCAGUGAUACCCUAAGAAUACUUAAGAUGAAAAGGAUUAAUAUCAAUUCUGAGCUUGUUAGGGAUCUUUGGUAAUUACUGUUAGGUGUGCUAUGUGUUGGUUCUGUUUAUUUCCAUGUUCUUGCUUUCCGUAAUUUCUAGAAAAUGUUGAGUGGUUGGUUACAGAUUAUUGUUUUAGUUAUACUGACUUGUUAGUAAUUGGAUUUGAAGUUGGAUGUGAUGAGUACACACUAUGGAUGAUCUUUCGUAACUUCUUGAUGAGUGGGCCGCAUAUGUUGCCAAGUUAUUUGUAGCAUACGAUAAUCAUGUAAUGUAUGAGUAUAUUUUUUAUUGUAAAUCGUCUCCAACUCUCCAUCGCCACUUUCUCAACCACCAUGUUGCUUGUUGAUAUUUGGGUGAGAAAAAUGAAUGAAAAAAUUGAAAAUCUUUAUGGAUGUCUCUAUUGGAUGGAUUCCCUUUGAUUCGUUUUGGAGAUAAAAUCAUGAUAAACAAUUGUAUUAGUGGAUGUUUUUUAAAGCCAUGAAGGGACAUGAACCUCGGUCAAGCUCAUGUUGUGCAGCCUGCAAGUUACUGAAAAGAAAAUGUAUUCCCACGAAUCCCACAUGUAUUUUUGCACCUUAUUUUCGCUCUAAUGAGUCGAAGAAAUUCGCCAAAGUGCACAAAGGUGUUUGGAGCAAGCAAUGUGAGCAAGAUCCCAUGCGGGUUUAGAAGCCUGGAUAAAAAAUCCGGACCCGGAACAUGCCAGGUUCGAGCUCGGACCGCACAUGUAAAAUCCGGGUUUAGCCCGGGUCCGGGUAGCAGUUUCUGUCAUCCGGUCCGGUCCCGGGCAGCACCAGACCCGGACCGGACCCGGGGUUUUGCCAAGCCUAUUCCUAGCUAGCACAUGCCGACUUUUAUGAAACUUGCAUUUUUGUCUUGUCUCCCAUGGGGAGUAGCUGAACCCAUUGAGGUAAUGCUUAAUUCAAUCAUUUCUUGAUGGUUUAUUAAAAUAUAACAUAUAUGUUUUAUUGUCUUAUAUUCUGUACCUGUAUUUUGGAUUUGGAAUUUCUAUUAAUAGACUUCACUUUCUAUUAAUUGAUCCAGUGAUCUUUCUUCAAUCUUUCCUUUUGGUUUCUUCAUCUCAAUGACCUUAAGCCAUUUUUUAUUCUUGUACCUUAAUAACUGAAUAUGUUUAGUUUCUUUUUGCAGAAG